rnacentral:lncRNA from 1 species
AUGUGUUCUAUGUGGCUGUGGAGUGGAUCCUAUGUCUUAAAUAUCCACGGGGGUUUGGCUCCCCCGUUGUGUCUGACAUCGAUGAUGCCUGGAAUCGGUGUGCAUUUCCUGAUAAAGGACCAGUCCCUGGGAAGAGUAACGAUGAUGAUGAUGAUGCAUCUAGAUCAUGAGCCACUCUGUGUCAUGUGCUUUAUAUCCAUUGCCUCCCUUAAUCCUGGCACAGAAUUCAUAGAAUCGAAGUUCAAAGAGAAGACAACUAGCCUGGCUCGUAAGUGGCAGGUGCCUGGAAGGGGUUCCUUGAACUGGAGUUAUGGUUUAUGGGUCCUAAACACAUCCAGAAGCCGGAUGAAUCUGCAGUCUCUGGCCGUGCUCGGGAUCCCAAAGCUGGAAGUCAUACCCAGGGCUUUGCGGCAAAAGUGGACAGAGUUUUUCAUCUUCUUUGAGAUCUUUUCCAUCGUGGUUCAUCUUCACUGGUACACAUUUGUUACUGGCCCCUUGGUGUUUGUGCUUCUUUUUCCUUUUUCCUCUCCUUUUCUUUAUUUCCCUUACUUAACUAAAACAGUGUCUGUUCACAGAAGUACGUAAAAUGUCUGUUCUUCCCUUAGGAUGAAAGUGGGUAAGUAUGGAGCCUGGAAGAAGCCUGCUUGCUGGUCCUGUGUCAUCCCAUUCAUGUACAUGCUGAUGGAGUGCCCCCCCCCAGCUCACCACCUCUCCAGGGGGUGGUACAUCUGCCCCAUCUUCUCCCUCUACAGCCCCUGCACCUCCUGCCAAGUUUUGCCUCUUACCCUGAGCCCUUUGCUUUGGCAGAUCCCUACGCAAGGUCUCAGCAAUGAUGUUGGCCUCCUGCGCUUUCGACUGAAACUAAAACACCACUUCCUGGAUUGCACCUUUCUGUGAAAUAUGUGACUUCCCGGAUUACAUCACUUCCUGGGGUCUAGCAUCUCACUGGGCCCCGGGACCAACAACUUCCCUAUUUGGUUUUGUCCUUGUCACCGACAUUUGGUCAAUGGUCAGGAUGCUAAGUGUUCUUAUCAGAAACAAAGAAACAAACUAAGGGACGUAAGGAAACUUAGGGAGGCGAUGGAUAGAUCCGUUACCUUGUUUGUGAUGCAGUGCGAGUGUUUACACAUGUGUGCAAACUCAUGAAAUUGUACCUGUUAAAUAUGUGUAAUUCUUUGAUAUCGAUGAUGCCUCGAUAGAGCUGUUUUAUUUAUUUACUUAUUUAUUUUUUUGAUAGAGCUGUUUUAAAAUAAAUAAAACCCCAGCGUGGUAAAAGAUGCAAGCAAACUUGGCCAACCUUUGCCCUAGAGAGACAGAUGCAAGUGGCUUUAUUUAUUUGUCAGGAUAGCAUUCUUUCUCCUUUCAUUUUUUGCAUUUCUCCACCACCUUGUCUUUUUUGGAUAUAGCAUGUGUGUGCAUACACACUCUGGGCCAAAUAAACAAUCCCUAUAUUUUGUCAGUGCUUUUUUAUCACCCUAAAAAAAUGUGUUUUACUGUCUCCUAGUUCAGUGCUCUGUCCUGUCCUACACACCACAGUUGUCCCCUGGGAUGGAGGAAGGAGCCAUGGUUUGUCCUGAUGUAUCAGACCAGCUGCCGAAGCUUAUCCACUUGUCAUUCAGGACCUAGCCUACCUCUUUCCUGACAUCUCAAGCUAUACUGCUUUCUUUUUUGUUUUCUUCUAAAUUCCUACAACAUCCA